rnacentral:rRNA from 1 species
CGAAAUUCCUUGUCAGGUAAGUUCUGACCCGCACGAAAGGCGUAAUGAUUUGGGCGCUGUCUCGACAAUGUACUCGGCGAAAUUGUAGUACUAGUGAAGAUGCUAGUUACCUGCGACAAGACAGAAAGACCCCAUGGAGCUUUACUGUAGCUUGAUACUGGGUUUCGAUAAUUUAUGUACAGGAUAGGUGGGAGGCGAAGAAGCAAUUGCGCCAGCAGUUGUGGAGUCAUCCUUGGGAUACCACCCUUAAGUUAUUGAAAUUCUAACCUGUAGUCCUGAGCGGGCUAGGGGACAAUGUCAGGCGGGCAGUUUGACUGGGGCGGUCGCCUCCAAAAGAGUAACGGAGGCGCGCAAAGGUUUCCUCAGCGCGGACAGAAAUCGCGCGAAAGAGUGCAAAGGCAGAAGGAAGCUUAACUGAGAGACUGACAAGUCGACCAGAUACGAAAGUAGGUCUUAGUGAUCCGGCGGUAGUGAGUGGAAAUGCCGUCGCUCAACGGACAAAAGUUACCCUGGGGAUAACAGGCUUAUCUCCCCCAAGAGUUCACAUCGACGGGGAGGUUUGGCACCUCGAUGUCGGCUCAUCACAUCCUGGAGCGGAAGUACGUUCCAAGGGUUGGGCUGUUCGCCCAUUAAAGUGGUACGCGAGCUGGGUUCAGAACGUCGUGAGACAGUUCGGUCCUUAUCUGUCGCAGGCGAAGGAUAUUUGAGGGGAGUUGACCUUAGUACGAGAGGACCAGGUUGAACUUACCAAUGGUGUAUCAGUUGUCGUACCAACGGCACGGCUGAGUAGCUAAGUAGGGAAGGGAUAAACGCUGAAAGCAUCUAAGUGUGAAGCCCACCCCAAGAUAAGAUAUCCCAUACCGUAAGGUAGUAAGAUUCCACGUAGACUAUGUGGUAGAUAGGUUGGAGGUGUAAGUGCAGUAAUGCAUUAAGCUGACCAAUACUAAUAAAUCGAGGGCUUAACCAC